rnacentral:rRNA from 1 species
GCGUGAGUGAUGAAGGCCUUAGGGUCGUAAAGCUCUUUCGCUAGGGAAGAUAAUGACGGUACCUAGUAAAGAAACCCCGGCUAACUCCGUGCCAGCAGCCGCGGUAAUACGGAGGGGGUUAGCGUUGUUCGGAAUUACUGGGCGUAAAGCGUACGUAGGCUGAUUAUUAAGUCAGAGGUGAAAUCCCAGGGCUCAACCCUGGAACUGCCUUUGAUACUGGUAGUCUAGAGAUUGUGAGAGGUGAGUGGAAUUCCAAGUGUAGAGGUGAAAUUCGU